ACGGGUAGAGUAAUGUCGUAGGAACUGCCUGAUGGAGGGGAUAACUACUGGAAACGGUAGCUAAAUACCGCAUAACGUCGCAAGACCAAAGAGGGGGACCUUCGGGCCUUCUUGCCAUCGGAUGUGCCCAGAUGGGAUUAGCUAGUAGGUGGGGUAACGGCUCACCUAGGCGACGAUCCCUAGCUGGUCUGAGAGGAUGACCAGCCACACUGGAACUGAGACACGGUCCAGACUCCUACGGGAGGCAGCAGUGGGGAAUAUUACACAAUGGGCGCAAGCCUGAUGCAGCCAUGCCGCGUGUAUGAAGAAGGCCUUCGGUUGUAAAGUACUUUCAGCGGGAGGAAGGGAGUAAAGUUAAUACCUUUGCUCAUUGACGUUACCCGCAGAAGAAGCACCGGCUAACUCCGUG
rnacentral:rRNA from 1 species